UUUCAUUCAUUUGUUUUUUCCCUACGUGUUCAAUUGAUUCCAUGUGCUGAUUAUUCAAGCUUUCAUUGCCUUGUUUCUGGAUGGGCCCUGAGUGAAUGGGCUUAACAAUGGAUUGCUGACCAUCAUUCCAUGGUUGCAUUCACACCCCCUCUGCCAUGACUGAUUUCAAUGGGCCUUAACCCUAAGGCCCACGCGCCUGUUUCAUCACCAACACCUUAUUUCCAAAUUGGAACCCCCCUGGCCCAAUAUAUUUUUUUCAUUGUUUU
rnacentral:lncRNA from 1 species